GAUGAAGAACGUAGCGAAAUGCGAUAAGUAAUGUGAAUUGCAGAAUUCAGUGAAUCAUCGAGUCUUUGAACGCACAUUGCGCCCCCUGGUAUUCCGGGGGGCAUGCCUGUCCGAGCGUCAUUGCCGCCCUCAAGCACGGCUUGUGUGUUGGGCCCCCGCCCCCCGGCUUCGGGGGGCGGGCCCGAAAGGCAGCGGCGGCACCGCGUCCGGUCCUCGAGCGUAUGGGGCUUCGUCACCCGCUCUGUAGGCCCGGCCGGCGCCCGCCGGCGACCCCAAUCAAUCUUUCCAGGUUGACCUCGGAUCAGGUAGGGAUACCCGCUGAACUUAAGCAUAUCAAUAACGGAGGA
rnacentral:misc_RNA from 1 species